UCUCUUCUAGUCAAAAACCCAAAUUUUAAUUUUAAUUUGGCAGACCCCCGGGACAAUAUGAAGUACCAAUUAUACCCCUUUCCGUAUAAAAUAAGCGUCAAUUCUACUCACCCACGUCUUCAACCCACAACCAGCCCCCCUCUGCUCUUUCUCUCUCUAGAGUUUUCUCACGAUGCUCUCUUCUUCUUCCCAUUAUUUCCCUUUCUAUAGCUCUCCCACACUCAGCCUCUCUUCGCCGUCUGCCAUCUCGAAGUUGCCGCCGCGAGAUCCGAGGCCAAAGUAGAGGAAGCGGAAGCCAUACAAACCCUAAAUAUCGUUCUGACAUAUCUCCGCCGCCGCUUCGCCGCUCUGGAUUUCCGCCACUCGAAAUGUUCUGUUCCGCCCCACCCGGUCCUCUGGCGAUGUGAUCCAGCGAUUCCUUCGCUCAUUUUACAUGGCGGCAUCCUUUCCUCCGAUCUACCCUCCAAGCGCCGCUCCUCCUCCGUCAAGCGCCGCUCCUCCUCCGUCAAGUGCCGCUCUAUUUCCACCGCCAACUGCCCGCCACCCCUAGAUGAGAAGGUAAAGUCAGGGAAGGGGAAACCGCCGCUGCCGCCGCUAAUAUUAGAUCAUAGCCAAGAACACCACUUUCCUCUCCGUCGGAGCAAAAAUAUGGAUCUAGGGUUUGAGUUUGAGAAUAAAAGUGUGUAAUGGACGAAAGAGAAAUCGAAAUUCAUGCCUUCAAUGCUGAAAACGGGUUGGUAGCAUCACGGUUUGAGAUUAUGAGGAGUACAUGAAGCAGCUCAAUGAUUUUCUCGAUUUUCCUUUGCAGGACGUACGGAGUGUCCCCAAGUGGAACCUUGUGUGCCACGUGGAAGGAUUCAGAUCUGGUUCUAGAUGCUCCGAGAGGCUUAGUAGGUGAAAUCCGGGUAGCCCAUUCACAUUUCUUUCAUCAUUUUUUUUCUUGAGAGAGAAAAUGGAGGGAAGAGCCUUCAAAUUGAGAUUUUAGAGAGAGACAGGGGAAAGAAGUGGAAACAGGGUUCAUUAAUUUUCGUUAAUUCAAAACAACUUUUUUGCGAUCGACAGAUCGGAGUUGUUGUCGUGUUGAAAAUUGGUAUUUGAAGCUAGAAAUACAAACUACACUAUAUAUGACUAUACUCGUAUAGUCACGUGUAGUCAUAUACACGUAGUCAUAUAUAGUCACAUAUGGUCAUAUACAUGUAGUCAUAUAUAGUCACAUGUGGUCAUAUACAUAUAGUCAUAUAUAGUUACGUGUAGUAACAUGUAGCGGUAUAUAGUUAUAUAUAAAUUAAGUGUUUUUUUCUGAUGUAUAGUAAUGUUGAUGAUUGUGUUUUUCCAAUUUUUUGUUCGGUACUAAUUGAUGAUGAUGAUUUGUUCUUUGUUGAAGAACAUAUGCAUGUGAUUGUGUAUUUCGAUCUAUAUUUGUACAAGUUGAUUUAUAAUAUCAAGAUUUAAAUUGAGAU